GACGAACGCUGGCGGCGUGCCUAAUACAUGCAAGUAGGACGCAGUUGCGAACGGGUGAGUAACGCGUAGGUAACUACCUAUUAGAGGGGGAUAACUAUUGGAAACGAUAGCUAAUACCGCAUACUAGUAGAUGGACCUGUGUUGUAGUAUCUAGUAGGUAGGGUAAUGGCCUAACUAGGCAACGAUACAUAGCCGACCUGAGAGGGUGAUCGGCCACCACUGGAUGUGGACACGGCCCAGACUCCUACGGGAGGCAGCAGUAGGGAAUCUUCUGCAAUGGGGGGAACCCUGACCGAGCAACGCGGCGUGAGUGAAGAAGGUUUUCGGAUCGUAAAGCUCUGUUGUGAAGGAAGCGGUACUUAACCAGAAAGGGACGGCUAACUACGUGCCAGCAGCCGCGGUAAUUC
rnacentral:rRNA from 1 species